AUCCGCAUAACACUAUGAGAGGCAUCUCUUGUGGUUGAAAGUUUCGGCGGUUACAGAUGGGCAUGCGUUGUAUUAGCUGGUUGGUAAGGUAACGGCUUACCAAGGCGACGAUACAUAGGGGGACUGAGAGGUUAACCCCCCACAUUGGUACUGAGACACGGACCAAACUCCUACGGGAGGCAGCAG
rnacentral:rRNA from 1 species